ACAGGCAGAUGGAAGUGGUGGCUACUAAACUGACAACAUGUGCAUAAUGGGAACAUAAAAGGCAGACUGACUGAAAAAGAAAGACAAAAGCUUCACAGGUCUGUUUGCUUUGACAUUACAACAUCUAAACGGAGAAGUGUUUCACUCGCUGUGUUUCUGCUGGAAUCACACACGGACUUUUAUUUUGUCAUUUCUCCUCUGUAGCAGUCUGAUUAUUAGGUGAUGAGUUUUGUGACAGUCCAGUCUGUGAACAUCAUGACAGGCAUCAUGUUACUGAGUCUCCUCUUUAUUCCAAGUACUUUGGCUGCUUGUCCUCAAGAUUCAAACCUGUUCAUCACUUCACCAACAGAGAUGGAAGCUCUGAGUGGAUCUUGUUUACAAAUCCCAUGUAACUUUAGUGAAACCAGAACAGAAAAGUUUGACAGCACAAGACCUGUUUUUGGAGUGUGGAUUAAAAAGCACUCCAAUGUUAAUAUAUUUCCAAGCAAUGAGAUCUUCAACAGCAGUAAGACAGUUAACAUGUAUCCAAUGAAUAUUACAGGAAACCUGAAGGAGAAAAACUGCACCACUCUGUUUUCCAACUUAACCACAAAUUAUACAAACACAUACUACUUCAGAAUUAUGAACUGGCCGUUCAGAGUAACAGCUGUUUGUGAUCCUCUUAAAAUAACAAUUAAAGGUGAGAAAGUUUUCAUUUUAUUGUUGAUAAUAAAAAAAAUCUGAUUUGAAUAUUAACAGCUAAGACAUAAAUGUACUAACUUUAUAUUUGGCAAUUAAAAAUGUGUUGUCCA